AGCCUUCUGUAUCUGUGCUGAGAUUUCGUCAGCGAUCAAUUCACUGGCGCUGAUGCAACUUCCCAAAUAAAUGAAGUC
rnacentral:pre_miRNA from 1 species